GCCUAACACAUGCAAGUCGAGCGGCAGCACGGGAAGCUUGCUUCCUGGUGGCGAGCGGCGGACGGGUGAGUAAUGCAUAGGAAUCUGCCCGGUAGUGGGGGAUAACCUGGGGAAACCCAGGCUAAUACCGCAUACGUCCUACGGGAGAAAGCAGGGGCUCUUCGGACCUUGCGCUAUCGGAUGAGCCUAUGUCGGAUUAGCUGGUUGGUGAGGUAAUGGCUCACCAAGGCGACGAUCCGUAGCUGGUCUGAGAGGAUGAUCAGCCACAUCGGGACUGAGACACGGCCCGAACUCCUACGGGAGGCAGCAGUGGGGAAUAUUGGACAAUGGGCGCAAGCCUGAUCCAGCCAUGCCGCGUGUGUGAAGAAGGCCCUCGGGUUGUAAAGCACUUUCAGUGGGGAAGAAAGCCUUCCGGUUAAUACCCGGGAGGAAGGACAUCACCCACAGAAGAAGCACCGGCUAACUCCGUGCCAGCAGCCGCGGUAAUACGGAGGGUGCGAGCGUUAAUCGGAAUUACUGGGCGUAAAGCGCGCGUAGGUGGCUNGAUAAGCCGGUUGUGAAAGCCCCGGGCUCAACCUGGGAACGGCAUCCGGGAACUGUCAGGCUAGAGUGCAGGAGAGGAAGGUAGAAUUCCCGGUGUAGCGGUGAAAUGCGUAGAGAUCGGGAGGAAUACCAGUGGCGAAGGCGGCCUUCUGGACUGACACUGACACUGAGUGCGAAAGCGUGGGUAGCAACAGGAUUAGAUACCCUGGUAGUCACGCCUAAACGAUGUCGACUAGCCGUUGGGUCCUUCGCGGACUUUGUGGCGCAGUUAACGCGAUAAGUCGACCGCCUGGGGAGUACGGCCGCAAGGUUUAAAACUCAAAUGAAUUGACGGGGGCCCGCACAAGCGGUGGAGCAUGUGGUUUAAUUCGAUGCAACGCGAAGAACCUUACCUACCCUUGACAUCCUGCGAACCCUUCGGAGACGAAGGGGUGCCUUCGGGAACGCAGAGACAGGUGCUGCAUGGCUGUCGUCAGCUCGUGUUGUGAAAUGUUGGGUUAAGUCCCGUAACGAGCGCAACCCUUGUCCCUAUUUGCCAGCGAUUCGGUCGGGAACUCUAGGGAGACUGCCGGUGACAAACCGGAGGAAGGCGGGGACGACGUCAAGUCAUCAUGGCCCUUACGGGUAGGGCUACACACGUGCUACAAUGGUCAGUACAAAGGGUUGCGAACUUGCGAGAGUGAGCCAAUCCCAGAAAGCUGAUCUCAGUCCGGAUCGGAGUCUGCAACUCGACUCCGUGAAGUCGGAAUCGCUAGUAAUCGUGAAUCAGAAUGUCACGGUGAAUACGUUCCCGGGCCUUGUACACACCGCCCGUCACACCAUGGGAGUGGACUGCACCAGAAGUGGUUAGCCUAACCUUCGGGAGGGCGAUCACCACGGUGUGGUUCAUGACUGGGGUGAAGUCGUAACAAGGUAGCCGUAGGGGAACCUGCGGCUGGAUCACCUCCUU
rnacentral:rRNA from 1 species